rnacentral:rRNA from 1 species
AACGAACGCUGGCGGCAUGCCUAACACAUGCAAGUCGAACGAGACCUUCGGGUCUAGUGGCGCACGGGUGCGUAACGCGUUGGAACCUGCCCUUAGGUUCGGAAUAACUCCCCGAAAGGGGUUCUAAUACCGGAUAAUGUCUUCGGACCAAUGAUUUAUCGCCUUUGGAUGGGCCCGCGUUGGAUUAGCUAGUUGGUAGGGUAAAAGCCUACCAAGGCGACGAUCCAUAGCUGGUCUGGGAGGAUGAUCAGCCACACUGGGACUGAGACACGGCCCAGACUCCUAGGGAAGGCAGCAGUGGGGAAUAUUAGACAAGGGGCGAAAGCCUGAGCCAGCAAUGCCGCGUGAGGGAUGAAGGCCUUAGGGUUGUAAAGCUCUUUUACCCGGGAUGAUAAUGACAGUACCGGGAGAAUAAGCGCCGGCUAACUCCGUG